AGCCCGAUAGUCUAGCGGUCAAAUAAAAUUAGAUUUUAGAUCAUGGAUUCUGCCCUCUGGAUCUCAAGAGUGGAUAGGCGGAGACGGCAGUUCGAAUCUGCCUCGGGCUA
rnacentral:tRNA from 1 species